GCUCGGCGCAGUGGCAUGUGCCUAUAGUCCCAGCUACUCCCGAGGAGGCUGAGGCUGGAGGAUCGCUUGAGCCCAGGAGUUCUGGGCUGUGGUGCUAUGCCGAUUGGGUGUGCACACCAAGUUCAGCAUCAGUAUGGUGACCUCCCGGGAGCGGGGGACCACCAGGUUGCCUAAGGAGGGGUGAACCGGCCCAGGUCGGAAAUAGAGCAGGUCAAAACUCCCAUGCUGAUCAGUAGUGGGAUUGCACCUGUGAAUAGCCACUGCACUCCAGCCUGGGCAACAUAGUGAGGCCCCAUCUCU
rnacentral:SRP_RNA from 1 species